GGAUGUGAGGGCGAUCUGGCUGCGACAUCUGUCACCCCAUUGAUCGCCAGGGUUGAUUCGGCUGCUCUGGCUGGCUAGGCGAGUGUCCCCUCCCUCCCUCACCGCUCCAUGUGUGUCCCUCCGGAAGCUGCGCACUUGGUUGAAGAGGACGAUCUUUCCCGAUAGGAGGAAGACCAUCCUUUGGUCAAGGGUAUGCGAGUAGCUGCGCUCCUCUGCUAGACCCUCCACACAAGUCUCAAGAGAGGACCACGCGAGCAAAACCACUCAGGUGAGAACUU
rnacentral:snRNA from 1 species